CCUACGGGAGGCAGCAGUGAGGAAUAUUGGUCAAUGGCCGCAGGGCUGAACCAGCCAAGUCGCGUGAGGGAUGACGGUCCUAUGGAUUGUAAACCUCUUUUGUCAGGGAGCAAAGUGCGCCACGUGUGGCGCUUUGCGAGUACCUGAAGAAAAAGCAUCGGCUAACUCCGUGCCAGCAGCCGCGGUAAUACGGAGGAUGCGAGCGUUAUCCGGAUUUAUUGGGUUUAAAGGGUGCGCAGGCGGAAUGUCAAGUCAGCGGUAAAAUUUCGGGGCUCAACCCCGUCGUGCCGUUGAAACUGGCGUUCUUGAGUGAGCGAGAAGUAGGCGGAAUGCGUGGUGUAGCGGUGAAAUGCAUAGAUAUCACGCAGAACUCCGAUUGCGAAGGCAGCAUACCGGAGCUCAACUGACGCUCAUGCACGAAAGCGUGGGUAUCGAACAGGAUUAGAUACCCCUGUAGUC
rnacentral:rRNA from 1 species